CAGUAGCCGCGGUAAUACGAAGGUCCCAAGCGUUGUUCGGAAUCACUGGGCGUAAAGGGAGCGUAGGCGGCGUGGUAAGUCAGAUGUGAAAUCCCGGGGCUCAACCCCGGAACUGCAUCCGAUACUGCCAUGCUUGAGGGUUGGAGAGGUAGCUGGAAUUCUCGGUGUAGCAGUGAAAUGCGUGGAUAUCGAGAGGAACACUCGUGGCGAAGGCGAGCUACUGGACAACAACUGACGCUGAGGCUCGAAGGCCAGGGUAGCGAAAGGGAUUAGAUACCCGUGUAGUCCCUGUCUCUUAUAC
rnacentral:rRNA from 1 species